AUUAAACGCUGGCGGCAGGCCUAACACAUGCAAGUCGAGCGGAGCGGCGGACGGGUGAGUAUUGCCUCGGAAUUUGCCUGGUAGUUGGGGAUAAAGUCCGGAAACGGGCGCUAAUACUACAUACUCUCUGCUUCGCCUAGGCCGGUUUAGCUAGUUGGUGGGGAACAGGCCUACCAAGGCGACGAUCCGUAACUGGUCUGUGAGGAUGAUCAGUCACACUGGAACUGAGACACGGGACAGAGUCCUACGGGAGGCAGCAGUGGGGAAUAUUGGACAAUGGGCGAAAGCCUGUGGCAGCCAUGCCGCGUGUGUGAAGAAGGUCUUCGGAGUGUAAAGCACUUUAAGUUGGGAGGCGUUACCAACAGAAGAAGCACCGGCUAACUACGUGCCAGCAGCCGCGGUAAUUC
rnacentral:rRNA from 1 species